rnacentral:lncRNA from 1 species
GAUAUAUGUCCUAAAUAGUGUAUCCAUGGACAAUGGAUCGAUUGAAGAAGUAAUCUAAUGAUGUUAGACUAAAGAGACCUUCUUCACAUAACCAUUAUGUCCAAAAGGUUCCUAGUCAUUGGAUUGUCGGAGGGAAAUUGACAAUGCUUAGACCGGUACAUACUGUGUCCGCUUCAAAUGGAAGGAUGGAAAGUCUCAUCCCAUUCGUGUUGUGACACUAAGACAAGUAUGUAGGUGCUCAUUAAGGGAAUGAGUUCACUGAACACAAUCGAAUGAGAGUACUUGCAUGGAGGUCUACUCACAUGUCAAGCAAGUAACUCUAAUGGUUAGAAUAAUGUAAGUAGUCCUUGUUGGAAAUGUGCCCUAAAGCCAAUCAUGUGAUGAUACUUUACGGACAUUUCACAUGUUAAACUAAUCUAGUU